GCUCGUAGUUCAGUGGUAGAACAGCAGACUGUUAAUCUGCAUGUCGUAGGUUCAAUCCCUACCGAGUCAGCUA
rnacentral:tRNA from 1 species